UACGGAGGGUGCGAGCGUUGUCCGGAAUCACUGGGCGUAAAGGGCGCGUAGGCGGCUACUUAAGCGUGUGGUGAAAGUCCGGGGCUCAACCCCGGAUCGGCCGUGCGAACUGGGUGGCUCGAGCACUGUAGAGGCAGGUGGAAUUCCGGGUGUAGCGGUGGAAUGCGUAGAGAUCCGGAAGAACACCGGUGGCGAAGGCGGCCUGCUGGGCAGUGGCUGACGCUGAGGCGCGACAGCGUGGGGAGCGAACAGG
rnacentral:rRNA from 1 species